AUCUUUGCGCAGUGGCAGUAUCGUAGCCAAUGAGGUUUAUCCGAGGCGCGAUUAUUGCUAAUGAUUUUUAUUUGCCUUAUUGUUACAUGAAAGUGCUAGAUUUUUUUCACUACAGUUUGUUUAAACAACUCAAAGUUG